GGGAUACCGGACAAUGGGGGGAACCCUGAUCCAGCGACGCCGCGUGAGUGUAGAAGUAUUUCGGUUUGUAAAGCUCUGUCUGCAGGGAAGAAAGAAAUGACGGUACCUGACCAAGUAGCUCCGGCUAACUACGUGCCAGCAGCCGCGGUAAUACGUAGGGGGCAAGCGUUAUCCGGAAUUACUGGGUGUAAAGGGAGCGUAGACGGUUAAGUAAGUCUGGAGUGAAAGGCCGGGGCCCAACCCCGGGACUGCUCUGGAAACUAUUCAACUUGAGUGCAGGAGAGGUAAGCGGAAUUCCUAGUGUAGCGGUGAAAUGCGUAGAUAUUAGGAGGAACACCAGUGGCGAAGGCGGCUUACUGGACUGUAACUGACGUUGAGGCUCGAAAGCGUGGGGAGCAAA
rnacentral:rRNA from 1 species